CUUUAACAUGGAUUAGACCCAGAUAGGAUAGGAUUUUUGGACAUAUUUGAUGAAGUAGAAAAACUAGGGUAUUAUGGGGCAAAGAUUUCUUAUAAGAUUUCAGGAUUGAGUCUGAAUGAUGGGUUAAAGGAAAUGGUGGAUGAUAAAGGUAUGAUUAAAUAUAUAGAUGAUGCCAAUGGAGUAUUACAAGUCUAUGUCGAAGGAGAGAAAGGACAAGCAGCAUUGCUUGGUGGCACAAGUCAAU
rnacentral:lncRNA from 1 species